CUAGCAUGUAUAUUUGGAUAUUAGUUGUGUAGUUUUUUGGUAAAUAUAUUAUUUUUAACUUAAGCCGGGGUAAGUAUCCUUAAACGUAAUAGGUACUCUUGGGCGGAAAUGCGUCACGGGUAAGUGUGCACGAGCUGGGUUGUUUACAAGGAAAGACAUUGUUCCUUUGUUCUGUGUACCCGGUAUGGAUUUAUCGACAUUUAACGGCAUGUGAACCAGGCACAGACUACAGACUGUGCUUCACAUGACGGGAGUUGAAGCCGUGCGGAUUAGUCAGGACCGGGCAGGAUGAUCCCUCUUAUACCAUCUCAGCAUCAGGACCGACCAGGAACGUGUGUUCAACUUGUUCCAUCAGGGUCAAGGUCAGCAAGGGUCUACUGAGGGCUUUUCCAUGCGGGAAAAGGUUGGCGACUUCCAAGUGAGCAUCACUGGCUUUUGAGGAAAUGUAAACCCUAGUGAUUGCUGUUGUCUAUUAGACACUAGUGACAUAUCCUCUUGGACAUGUGAGCUCUGGAUUGAGCUAUAUAUAUAUAUAUAAUAUAUAUUUCAGUAUUUGUAUCAAUACCCACUGGCUCUGGAUUGAGCUGUUUCAUACAAUAUUGGAAAGACUGUUGGCUCUGGAUUGAGCUGUUACAUACAUUAUUGGAAAGACUGUUUGGCUCUGGAAUUGAGUGUUUGUUUCAUCGUGUUGUGAUGCUACAUAGACAUUCUUAGAAUACUUUGUUGAGAGUGUGUGAGAUAGUGAGAGUGUAUGGUUGUAUUGUUAAUAUAUACGUUAUACAUAUUGUUUUGCAUUGUAAAUAAACAUAAUCAUAUUUGUGUAA